UUAGUUGUUGCCCUUCUAACCCUAACCCUAGAUCCAGGGCCGCUGGGAGAGAUCUUAACCAUCCCAAUCCUCCUCAUCUCCAUGAUUAUCUUGACUAUGAUCCCUUCAUAGAGCCAAUAGUCCUUCCUAUUGCUCUUCUCCUUGGCCUUCUCCUCCUUCCUGAUCAGCUCUUCCAACGCUGAGGAACCGUCUUUCGCUCCACCUCCACUGACGCGGUGCAUUUCUUCUCAGCCUUUUCGGGUUCGAGAUCCUCACCAAAUGCAAUCUUUGGACGCUUGGGUUCGCCUCUCAAUCCUGGAUCUCGGCGGCGUACAUCUCGGCUGCUACGCCGUCUCCUCGAUCCAAUCAAUCGCUGCCUCGGCUUCCUUGAUGUCUCUCAACGCGCUGAUGGGGAUGAGUUCUUGAAGGUCCACGCCGACUACGCCACUCUCUCCAAUCCUGAGAAACACGUUGAUUAUGAUAAGAAAAUGGCCGUGAUCUGGAGCUGUUACCUUGCGCCGCUGCAGGGAUCAAGUCAGGAAGCUCAAGUAGUCAACUUUUCAUUUGGGGAUGAAGGAUAACAUCUUCUUAGGUAACCAAACAGUCCUCUUUUCCAAGUUUGAUGCUCAAUUUCUUAAGGAAAGUGGCUGGAUAAGUGUCAAGUUGGUAUUAAUGGUGUCAAUCUUAAGCUCUGCGGGACCUCCAUGACAUCUGCUAGCCCUUUGCUGCCUUCAUUGAUUGUGGAAAAUCAGAGUUGCGUAGUUUGAACAUGAAGAGCUUCAGCUUGAGUAAUUUAACCCAUUAAAAGAAGGGUUCUAGCAGCUGGGAAAUUGAGGAUGAGGAGGCCUAUUAAAACUGGAAAUUGAGGAUGAGGCGGCCUAUUAAAACUGGUUUUGCUUCAAUCCCAGUUUUGAUUUUCUGAUUUGAUUUAUUUUUUUAUUAAUUUAUUGAUUUGUAGGAAAUUGAGGAUGAGGACGCCUAUUAAAGCUCCUGCUAAAAGUCACAGGCUUGCUGAUUUUCCUCCUGAAGAAUAUUAAUGAAGUAUGGGCAAAAGCCAAUCAAAGGUUCUCCC